CCUAUUAUUUAAGAGGUAAACAUUGUUAGUAAAUAGAAAUUACGAAAGCAAAAAAUUAUGGCGGUAUUUUAAGCUUUUCAGAGGAAUUUGCUCUUUAAUGGAUAAAACACCUAAAUCUUACUUAAAUUUGUAAAUUCAAUUUGUAUACCACUAUAAAAACAAUUAAUAACUUCAAUUGUUAAAAUUUAUUAAAUUAAGUUAUAUUAAGUCAAGGUGCAGUAAAAAUUUAAGAAUGAAGUGAAUUACAUUUCUUUUUAGAGAGAGAAAUUUAAAUAACAUUUAGGAUUUGAAAGUAAAAUUGAAAUAGAAUGUCAAUU
rnacentral:rRNA from 1 species